CCCGUUUCCACCCCGCCCUCGGUGUGACCACUUUUGAUCCCGCCUCAGACAAAGCCAAUCCAACUCCCGCAGGAUGAAUAAGGGGAUCAGGUUGCUCUCUCGCCUUCCCCCACCCCCUCACCGCGGCUCCCCUUCCCCACGUGACUCUCCGGAAUCUUUGCCAAAGCUCAGAGUCUCUGAGUCCAUUUUCACACCCAGCAAAGGAGAGAGGAAGGAGGCGAGAGAGGCGGAGGAAGGCGGAGCGUGUGUGCUUUAAAUGCGGGGAUCCACUCGGGGACUUAUCUUGUGCGUUUCCAGGCCCCUCAUCUGAGGAGCAUUGAGUUCGGAGGCGUCUUUUCUAACCCCUCUCUUUCCUCGGUGCAUCUACAAUUAUGGCUCCACCUCCACUUGGGUAAUCGCACCUCCGCCCUGCAGCGCAGCUCGGGGGUGCACCGUGCGGGGAGGUGGGCGUCGGUGUGGAGCAAGCCGCGCCCCUCAGCACUCCUCCUCUCGGCUAGGGGCGGGGGCUAGAAAGUGGCAGCAGCGCCCCCCGCGCCACCUUUCGCGUGGAGCUCUGGAAGCGCCUGCAGCAGCCGGGCGGCGUGGUGCGGUGCGGCUGCAGCGCCCCCGAGUCCCGGAGCUCCUGCAGGGCCGCACAAAGUUUGCAGCCAGCGGCCCUGCACGGCCGAGCUCCCUGAGCGCUGCUGUGGCCCGGCCCGGUGUGUUCGCCGCGACCGCCCUCGGCCGAUGCUACACGGACAGACGGGGGCGUGCCGAGAGAACUUUGAAAAGCUGCGGAGAAGGAACCUGCGCCUGCAGCUCGCCAGUCGGGGACCUCGGGAGGAACUGGUCUAACCCGAGGCAAUGCUGCGGGAUCCCAGCAGCCACUGACCUGCAACUUUCCUGCUUAGACUUAGCGGCGGUUUAAGCGUUGCCUCCUCCUCGCAGGCUCUGCUCACAUUGGUGGCCGCUCUGCGGGAGAGCGGAGUGAGCCUCCGGGCUGACUGAGGGUUGCAGUCGGCGGCAUCCUUCUCCGGUCCACCCGGCCAACCUCGGCUCCCGGACGAGCAGCCCCGCGCUUCCCCACUAUCUGCGGCUACCGGCUCCCGGCGCCGCUGCCUGGGGUUUGGAGGAGAGCAGGUUCUUGGAUGCUGAAGGCUGGGCUCCUCCUGCGAGAGUGUCGCGGCGGCGAUGGGUGUCUUCAAAGCGUGGCUCGGGGUGGCCCUAGCGCUGGCGGAAUUUGCAGUGUUGCCUCAUUGCGAAGGUGCUUGCGUGUAUCGGGGCUCCUUGCUUGCGGUAGGUCAUUCUCAAUCUAUUUCUUUUGGAUGUAAGAUGCUUGACUGGGAUGACUGAGUGAUGAGGUGAUCGGUAUCAUCGUAAAAUUUAUUCAUUUUUCUUCACGGGCUGGAGAUGACUUUUCAUCCGGGUAGCGGGGUACCAUCGGGCUCAAUUAAUUAAUAACCCUUUGAGAGUAAAUUAGUUCCAUUUGGAUACUCAGUUAUUGAAUGAAAAGUCCAAUGCUCUCCCCACCCAUUUACAUUCAGUGGCUGUCCUUUGUGCUCCUUCAGUCAGAGAUAAUUGGAUCCCAUCCUCUUGUCACAUACAAACUAGGGCACGGUUUGUUUAUAAUCCUGGUGUAUUUGUUUCCUGCUUUGAUCCCCUCUUUUU